UCGAGGAUCUUCGGCAAUGGGCGAAAGCCUGACCGAGCGACGCCGCGUGUGGGAUGAAGGCCUUCGGGUUGUAAACCACUGUCGUAGAGGAGGAAAUUCUGGGGGGUUCUCCCCUCGGUUUGACCUAUUCUAGGAGGAAGUCAGGGCUAAGUUCGUGCCAGCAGCCGCGGUAAGACGAACCUGACAAACGUUAUUCGGAAUUACUGGGCUUAAAGGGUGCGUAGGCGGCGCGACAAGUUGGGUGUGAAAUCCCUCGGCUCAACCGAGGAACUGCGCUCAAUACUGUCGUGCUCGAGGGAGACAGAGGUGAGCGGAACUUAGGGUGGAGCGGUGAAAUGCGUUGAUAUCCUAAGGAACACCGGUAGCGAAAGCGGCUCACUGGGUCUUUUCUGACGCUGAGGCACGAAAGCUAGGGUAGCGAACGG
rnacentral:rRNA from 1 species